ensembl:lncRNA
CUACCAAAUGAAAGCAUAUGAUACCCAAUUUUUUUUUACUUAAAAAAAAAUUGGCUGGGCAUGGUGGCUCACCCCAUAAUCCCAACAUUUUGGGAGGCUGAGGCAAGCAGAUAACUUGAGGUCAGGAGUUUGAGACCAGGCUGGGCAACAUGGUGAGAUCCCCAUCUUUUCUAAAAAUACAAAAAGUAGCCAGGGAUGGUGUCACAUGUCUGUGGUCACAGCUACUUAGGAGGUUGAGGCAGGAGAAUCUCUUGAACCCAGGAAGUGGAGGUUGCAGUGAGCUGAGAUCGUGCCACUGCACUCUAGCCUGGGUGACAGAGUGAGUCUCUGCCUCAAAAAAAAGUUAAUAUAUCAUAUAGUUUGGAUAUUUGUCCCCUGUAAAUCUCAUGUUGAAAUCUGAUCUCCAAUGUUGGAGGUGGGGCCUAGUGGAAGGUGUCUGGGGUCAUAGGGGUGGCUCUCUCAAGAACAGUUUGGUGCCAUCUCCAUGGUAAUGAGUUAGUUCUCACCCUAUUAGUUUUUGCAGGAGCUGGGUGUUUAAAAGAAUGUGGGACCCCUUCCCUGUCUUUCUUCCUCCCUCUCUUACCUUGUGAUACCUGUUCUCCUCCCCCUCACCAUGACUGGAAGCUUCCUGAGGUCCUGACAAGAAGCAGAUGCUGGUGUCAUGCUUCCUGUACAGCCUGCAGAAUCGUGAGCCAAAUAAACCUUUUUUCUUGCUUUAUUUUAUUUUAUUUAUUUAUUUUUAAUUGCAUUUUAGGUUUUGGGGUACAUGUGCAGAACAUGCAAGACAUUUGCAUAGAGAAACACCAGGAAAUGUGCAGCCACCUUGCAACUGUGAGAAGAGGUGCUGAUCCCAGAAAUGACAGAGCUGAGCCAGGAAAGACCUAACUCCUUGGGGGCAGCUUUGAGUUGUUUCCCACACCACUUCUGGGCUUCUAACCUCUGGACUUAAUAUGAGAGACUGACUUUACUAUUUUCUUAAGCUAGGUGGAAUCACAGUUUCUGAAACUUGUGUAGCCAACUGGUAUAGGAUUUCUAGGAAGACUUAAUUAGUUUACAUUUGUAAAAUGCCUAGAAUGAUGCUUAGUACAUAGUAAGCACUACAUCAAUGUCUGUUGAAUAAAUAAAUAAUACAGGUUGGUUUUUUACCUUUCUUCUCUUAUAAGUAAUUCUAUCAUAAACCUCCUGUACAUAUAUCUUUGCACAUUUCUACCAGAAUAAAUAUAGGCCAAAUGAUCAGAAGAGAAAUUGCUGGAUCAAAGGGUCUCUGAAUUCUAAAUAGGAAUGGAUAUUGACAAAUGGUCCUCCAAAGAAGUUGCUGAAUUUACGCAUCCACCAGCAGAGUAUAAAAGUGUUUAUUUUCAUAUGCUUUCAUCAACAAGUCAAAUUAUCAAGGCUUUUAAUAUUUGCUAAUACAAUAGGUUAAAAAUGGUAUAUUAUUGUUUUAUGCUGGAUUUCUGAAGUUGUGAUGUUAUGCCCUUUUUAUUUGUAUUGGUGAUCUGUAUUUCCUUUUUAAAAUCACCAUUUAUAAAUUAUAGUUUCAAAUAAUCGGGACCAACUAAUUUUCAAUAGAUUUAACUAUGUAAUAAAUAAAAUAUAUGUUAAAAAGCCAACAAAAUUCAACCAUUAAAUAUAGAAUAUAAAAGACAGUCUCUGAACAGGAAAAAAUCAUUGUAAUAUAUAUGAAAAUGGAUACCAUAAAUAUCUUGUAUAAAUCAAUAAGAAAAAAUAAACAUUCAACUUUAAAACAGGCAGAGGGUAUGAACAUUUUGUAGAAUUCAAAUAACCAAUAACUACAUGACUCACUAAAACUCAUUAAAAGAUGAAAAUGAGUUAUCAUCAUUCAGCUAUCAAAUUUUUUUCUUAUAAUUCUGUAUUAGUCUGUUCUUGCACUGCUAUAAAGAAAUACCCAAGAUGGGGUAACUUACAAAGAGAAAAGGUUUAAUUGGCUCAUGGUUCUGCAGGCUGCAAAGAAAAUAGUGGCUUCUGCUUCUGAGGAG